rnacentral:rRNA from 1 species
UACAGAGGGGCAAGCGUUAUUCGGAAUUAUUGGGCGUAAAGGGCGCGUAGGCGGCUUUGCAAGUGGCGGGUGAAAUCCCCCGGCUUAACCUGGGAACUGCGUCUGAUACUGGGAAGCUUGAGUUCGGGAGAGGGAUGUAGAAUUCCAGGUGUAGCGGUGAAAUGCGUAGAUAUCUGGAGGAAUACCGGUGGCGAAGGCGGCAUCCUGGACCGAAACUGACGCUGAGGCGCGAAAGCUAGGGGAGCAAACAGG